CCUACGGGUAGCAGCAGUGAGGACUAUUGGUCCAUGGACGAGAGUCUGAACCAGCCAAGUAGCGUGAAGGUUGACUGCCCUAUGGGUUGUAAACUUCUUUUAUAUGGGAAUGAAAUGUUCCACGUGUGGGAUUUUGUAUGUACCAUAUGAAUAAGGAUCGGCUAACUCCGUGCCCGCAGCCGCGGUAAUACUGAGGAUCCGAGCGUUAUUCGGAUUUAUAGGGUUUAAAGGGAGCGUAGGUGGAUUGUUAAGUCAGUUGUGAAAGUUUGCGGCUCAACCGUAAAAUUGCAGUUGAAACUGGCAGUCUUGAGUACAGUAGAGGUGGGCGGAAUUCGUGGUGUAGCGGUGAAAUGCUUAGAUAGCACGAAGAACUCCGAUUGCGAAGGCAGUUCACUGGACUGCAACUGACACUGAGGCUCGAAAGUGUGGGUAUCAAACAGGAUUAGAUACCCUUGUAGUC
rnacentral:rRNA from 1 species